AUGGACAUGAGGGCCCCUGCUCAGCUCCUGGGGCUUCUGCUGCUCUGGCUCCCAGGUGCCAAAUGUGACAUCCAGAUGACCCAGACUCCAUCCUCCCUGUCUGCCUCUCCAGGAGACACAGUCACCAUCAAUUGCAGGGCCAGUCAGGGCAUUAACAAGUAUUUAGCCUGGUUUCAGCAGAAACCAGGGAAAGCUCCUAAGCAGCUGAUAUAUAGAGCAUCCAAUUUAGAAUCAGGUGUCCCAUCCAGGUUCAGUGGCAGUGGAUCUGGGACAGAUUACUCUUUUACUAUCAGCAGCCUGCAGGCUGAAGAUUUUGCCACUUAUUACUGUAUGCAGUAUGAUGAGCUUCCUCCCACAUUCGGUGGAGGCACCAGAAGGAGCAUCUGGGGCAGCCCAGCUUCUCACUUCUGCUUCCCUGGGAGGUUUAUGUUAUGGCUUUUAUCACUGUGGGAAUGUACCAUAAUAAUGUUGACAGUAAUAAAUGCCAGCGUCUUCAGGCUGCAGGCUGCUGAUGGUAAGGGUGAACUCUUUCCCAGAUCUACUGCCACUAAAUCUGGAGGGGAUCCCGGAUGAUAAAUACUCAGCAGCAUAGAUCAGGAGCUUGGGAGCUUUGCCUGGUGUCUGUUGGUACCAAUUUAAGUAAUUGCUAAUGUCCUG